rnacentral:misc_RNA from 1 species
AAAGUCGUAACAAGGUUUCCGUAGGUGAACCUGCGGAAGGAUCAUUACAGUGUUAGCUGCCCUCACGGGUAGCAAACCUCACCCUUGUGUAUUAUAUCUAAAAUUCUGAAAAUGUCGUCUGAGUACUAUCUAAUAGUUAAAACUUUCAACAACGGAUCUCUUGGUUCUG